rfam:Schistosoma mansoni strain Puerto Rico chromosome W, complete genome
AUCCAACUGACGAGUCACAAAUAGGAAGAGACACGCGUCCUGGAU